UACGGGGGGGGCAAGCGUUGUUCGGAAUUACUGGGCGUAAAGGGUUCGUAGGUGGCCAACUCAGUCAGACGUGAAAUCCCUCAGCUCAACUGGGGAACUGCGUCUGAUACUAGAUGGCUUGAGUGCAGGAGAGGAACGCGGAAUUCCAGGUGUAGCGGUGAAAUGCGUAGAUAUCAGGAGGAAUACCGAUGGCGAAGGCAGGUCUCUGGGCUGACACUGACGCUCAUGCACGAAAGCGUGGGGAGCAAACAGG
rnacentral:rRNA from 1 species